GUGUUCACAUCACAGCACAGGUACUAAAACUAGAAUGAUACUGAGAUUAGCGUGGUGCCUGCCAAGGAUGAUGUGCAAAUUCAUGAAGCAUUCCAUAUUUUU
ensembl:snRNA U6 U6 spliceosomal RNA